GGCUCCUACUCAUGCAGAAGGUACGUUUGUGCAUGCAACUCCCAUGAAGUCCACUAGGUCCCUGGAUGUGAAUUGAAAUUUCAGGAAUCAAGCCCUUGUCUCUUUCGUCGCUGUCAAACCUGGGGAGGAUGAAGCUGAUACGCAUCCACUUUGUAAAUGUCUAAGGAGCUGUGUUUUUAAGAAGAGCCAGGGGAAAAACUGUCUUCCAGGGGCUAGGAGAAAAAUCAAGAGAAAAUGUGGUGAAACCUUUCAGGACUCUGCAUUGAGUUGGUUUCUUUAUGAAGCAGGACUUGGAUGCUGACAGUGUGUGUAUGGAGGCUUUGGAAAGGAGCAUUAUCGUGGAUCCUAUCUGGAUUAUUUUUCCUUCUAAAAGCUACUGUACAAUCAAGAAGGAGAUACAUAUGUGAAAGCGGGAAGAUGCAAAUGUGUAAGUUUAAGCCAUUCACAUUAAACACCCAAGAGGGGGAAACAAACCCCCUCAUUUUCCUGCAGGAGAAGACAUGAGUAAGAGAUGUCAGUGCAGCUAUGACAUCUGUUUACAUGGGGAUUUUAUGCACCUGUUCACUAGGCAAUAACAAAUGCUUACCAUGGUGGUAGCUGUAUCACACGGUACAUAUGCUGCUUCUGACAUACAUAACACCUCUUUAAGGAAACACAUGGCCCCAUAUGUCAUGAGAACUUGUUUACAUUCUACAAUACAGUAAUGGAAAAUAUGUUUCAUAAUAAAUGUUUUCAUCAUUUUUGUGUUUAAGGAAAGAAUGGGAGUUUUACACCCUUGCUGUCAAUUUGAGUGUCCUCUCUCAUUGUUGUCACCAAAAGAUGUGAUGCUAUCAACUAAACUUCCUAAAAGCUUUCAAAAUUUAGAAAAAUUUGGAUCUUAGCAGUUCAGUUUUAAGGACUGCUGUCCAAAAAAAGGUGUAAU
rnacentral:lncRNA from 7 species